AUCAUUUCUUAGCCUUUUGCUAAGAUAAAGUGCAGUAUCUAUUGUUAUCAGUUUAAUAUACGAUAUGUCCUUUAUCCACAGUCAAUAGAUUAAGUGGAUAUCUGGGGUUAGGAUAUGGAAUAGGAGCACCUUCUGUCUACUCCACAUAUCAACCUGGUAUUGCAGUAUUUUCAGAGAUGGUACACACACA